rnacentral:rRNA from 1 species
AUUAGGAAUCUUGCGCAAUGGGGGAAACCCUGACGCAGCGACGCCGCGUGAAGGAUGACGGCCUUCGGGUUGUAAACUUCUUUUAAGAGGGACGAAGCAAGUGACGGUACCUCUUGAAUAAGCCCCGGCUAACUACGUGCCAGCAGCCGCGGUAAUACGUAGGGGGCGAGCGUUGUCCGAAGUUACUGGGCGUAAAGCGCGCGUAGGCGGGCUAUUAAGUUGGGCGUGAAAUCUCCGGGCUCAACCCGGAAACCGCGCCCAAAACUGGUGGCCUUGAGGUAUGGAGAGGGAAGUGGAAUUCCUGGUGUAGCGGUGAAAUGCGUAGAUAUCAGGAGGAACACCCGUGGCGAAGGCGGCUUCCUGGCCAUAUCCUGACGCUGAGGUGCGAAAGCUAGGGGAGCGAACGGGAUUAGAUACCCGAGUAGUCC